ACAAUUAACAUCACACUAUGUAUUUUUUUUUAAAAAGACAAUCUUAGUGUUGGCAAUUACAUAAGUACAUGUACUAGUAUUUGUAAUUCAUAGAUUUGUAUACAAAUUAUUAUCUUUUCAGUCUUUACUUUAUACACUUAUUUAAUUAAACACAACUUGACUUGAUGUAUAAUUCAUACAACUGUAAUUCACAGUAACAUUUACUAACAAAAGUUUGUUUUGUUUAUCAUAGUGUCAAAUGCACGUCAUAAUUUUAUAGCUACAGUGUAGAUUACUGAGUAAUAAUUUUGUAUAUUAAGAUUGUAAUAUUGUCCAGUAUAUGUUUCUACAUGUAAUUUAUGUUUUUUUAAUGGGGCAUGCUGGGGUCUUUCAUUGUAAAUGAGAUUAUUCCCAAAGGAAGCUAUACAUGCAUCAAGGAAUGUACAUGUAUUUGGAUUAAGAAUAAACUCUGAUCUGAUUAACAUAUGGUUCAAAGCUGUAAUAAAAUGAACAGUUUAAGAAUUUAACAAACUUUCCAUAUGAUUAUCAGUAGAAUGUUAUGACUGUUUGCUACAUGUUUCAUCAAUCUGUAACUUAAUAUGUACUGUUAUACAAGUAUACAUUUAUUAUGUAAUGUGCCUUUUGCUUAACAAUGUCUUCCAGUUAAUUUACUUGUACUGUUGUCAAAACCAGAGAAAAAAAUCUGUAACAGUCAAACAGAAAUAAAAUUCAC
rnacentral:misc_RNA from 1 species